rnacentral:rRNA from 1 species
GAUGAACGCUGGCGGCGUGCCUAAUACAUGCAAGUCGAGCGAACGGACGAGAAGCUUGCUCCUCUGAUGUUAGCGGCGGACGGGUGAGUAACACGUGGAUAACCUACCUAUAAGACUGGGAUAACUUCGGGAAACCGUAGCUAAUACCGGAUAAUAUUUUGAACCGCAUGGUUCAAAAGUGAAAGACGGUCUUGCUGUCACUUAUAGAUGGAUCCGCGCUGCAUUAGCUAGUUGGUAAGGUAACGGCUUACCAAGGCAACGAUGCAUAGCUGACCUGAGAGGGUGAUCGGCCACACUGGAACUGAGACACGGUCCAGACUCCUACGGGAGGCAGCAGUAGGGAAUCUUCCGCAAUGGGCGAAAGCCUGACGGAGCAACGCCGCGUGAGUGAUGAAGGUCUUCGGAUCGUAAAACUCUGUUAUUAGGGAAGAACAUAUGUGUAAGUAACUGUGCACGUCUUGACGGUACCUAAUCAGAAAGCCACGGCUAACUACGUG